rnacentral:rRNA from 1 species
UACGGAGGGUGCAAGCGUUAUCCGGAUUCACUGGGUUUAAAGGGUGCGUAGGUGGGCAGGUAAGUCAGUGGUGAAAUCUCCGGGCUUAACUCGGAAACUGCCAUCGAUACUAUCUUUCUUGAAUACCGUGGAGGUCAGCGGAAUAUGUCAUGUAGCGGUGAAAUGCUUAGAUAUGACAUAGAACACCAAUUGCGAAGGCAGCUGGCUACACGAAUAUUGACACUGAUGCACGAAAGCGUGGGGAUCAAACAGG